rnacentral:lncRNA from 1 species
GGCGGCAGGCUCCACUGUGCUCGCGAGCGGGGCACGCCGGGAUAUGUAGUUUCCGGCGCCUGCCCUCCGGGGGGUCCUGUGCUGCCCACUUCACAGUGACUUGUCUCCGCCUGGUGAACUCGCGGUGUUCUGCUAAUCUUGCGGAGCCUCAAUGUGAGAUGCAGAGACUGCCCAUCAAACCACAGCCAUAUUCAUCAAGCUUUGAGCCGAUCCGGUGAAGAGAAAUGAGCACUGCAUACAUUAUUCAGAGAAAGGGACCAAAUAAAGCUUUUAAUAGGAAAUGAAAAUGUAUUUUAAAGCGUCAGUGCAAACAGCCAAUUAUUUUCAUUAUGUAUGUUUUAUCUUGCAAUGACCUCUGGUUUAUCAGUGGAAUUAAGAGAUGAGUGAUACAUGUAUCCACGUGUUUUUGUGUAAUGAGAGUUUUCACCUUCUCCUCAAAUCUCCAUAUUAAGCAGCAGUCAGGGAACCAAACUGAUUAAAUUCGUGUUUUUCAUUUGUUUUCCCUUAUUCACUGUCUGGCAAACCGUAUAAGAACUUAAGCAAUUACAGAGUUAGAGAAAAGGACCUGAAGUCUUCAAUAAACUUGAAAUCAG